rnacentral:rRNA from 1 species
AGAGACCGGCACACGGGUGCGUAACGCGUAUGCAAUCUACCUUUCACAGAGGGAUAGCCCAGAGAAAUUUGGAUUAAUACCUCAUAGUAUAGCAGUUUCGCAUGAAACCACUAUUAAAGAUUUAUCGGUGAAAGAUGAGCAUGCGUCCCAUUAGUUAGUUGGUAAGGUAACGGCUUACCAAGACAACGAUGGGUAGGGGUCCUGAGAGGGAGAUCCCCCACACUGGUACUGAGACACGGACCAGACUCCUACGGGAGGCAGCAGUGAGGAAUAUUGGACAAUGGGGGCAACCCUGAUCCAGCAAUGCCGCGUGUGUGAAGAAGGCCUUCGGGUUGUAAAGCACUUUAGGCAGAGAAGAAGGUUAGUAGUUUAAGAGAUGAUUAACUUGACUGUAUCUGCAGAAUAAGCACCGGCUAACUCUGUGCCAGCAGCCGCGGUAAUACAGAGGGUGCAAGCGUUAAUCGGAUUUACUGGGCGUAAAGGGCGCGUAGGUGGUUGCGUAAGUGAGAUGUGAAAUCCCCGGGCUUAACCUGGGACGUGCAUAUUAGA